GUUUUCCAAGGACGUUUUCCAUUGUAGGACGUUGCCGAGAGGCCGGGGGAGUCUAGGACCCGCGGAGGCGAAACUGCGCGGUGGAUGAACCUCUCUGGAAGUCGCUAAAUAGCGUAGAUACAGGUUCGAAUCCCAGACCGCCACUCAGGGUUAAAAAAAAAAUUUUUUUUUUAACAUUUAUUUAUUAUUGAGAGACAGAGAGAGACAGAGCAUGAGCAGGGGAGGGGCCCAGAGACGGGGAGACACAGAAUCCGAAGCAGGCUCCAGGCUCUGAGCUGUCAGCACAGAGCACAAAUCAAGAGGUCAUGACCUGAGCCGAAGUGGGAUGCUUAACUAUCAGAGCUACCCGGGCGCCCCGCCACCCAGGGUUUUAUAGCCUUAGAGAAAGCACAUUAACUGACUAAGCCUAGUUUCUCAUCUGUAUGGUGAGGGUAAUCAAUAAUAGAGGCAUCUGUGAAGUGCUCUCAGGAGAAGAGUUAGUGAUGAAGAGCCGAGCCUGUUAGGAGAAAUGGAUAUGAGGGGCCAGAGCUGGAGGAGGCCAGUGCUAUAUAGUAGAUGAAGCCAGGGUCAUCCUUCACCUCCCUAAGUAGAGGGGUUCACACCUGAGCUGCUAUCAGCACCUAAGCAAGGAAGAGACCCUCCAAGAGGGCCUGACCCAACACUGCCGUUCUGGGGAAAACUUGAGCACUGCUGGUUGGGUUUGUCAUACCUUGUCAGUGCCCUGGUUGCUGGUCCACCUAUCCUAAGUGCUGUGAAGGAGACUUGAGAACUGACUUUCCCUCCAAGGUACCAUCUUGUCCGGGAGACAAAAACCAAUGCAGCGAGGACACUUCACUGCAAGGAGGGGCAAGCCUGGCAACCCAACUCUGGAGCUCUGCGGAGGGCACUGUUUGCCUGGUUUUCUCACUAGGGCCAGACCAGAGCAUAUAUUCCUUCUUGCUGAUGAGGACUCUCUUUGCCAGAAGAACCCAGAGAGAGCAGAGGGCCCAUCCCCAGGGGAUGAACCAGAUUGCUCCAAAGCAGCCAUGGCGGUCCUGUUCUUCUUUGCCAAAUACUCAGUUUCCCAGCCUCCCUUGAAGUGAGAAGAGGAUGCCGCUCAGUUCUGCCCAUCAACAUUUAAAGGGAAAUUUACCGGCAGGAUUCUGGGAAACUUUUAUCUUCAUGAUAAAGUAGUACGGCCUCAAUCCCUUCGUGGAGCUGUGGCAGCCACUUUGUGGCAUGGAGAGAACUACAUACUAUGGAUGGGAGAGUAGGAACAUUAAGUCUUAUGUCCUUGAAACAAUACUUAUGACAGGAUGCUUGUGACCAGAAUUGUCAGUCGCUGUAACAUGGCUCAGGAUACUACAUCUAGCUGUCCUGCAUCACCUACCUUCCAAGCAGCAGCCUGGUGUCCAGAUGCUGAAUUGGACCCACCUAGAAACCCUUCAGGGUGACAAUCCUAGCCGAAGAGAAAGCCACGGGCAGAAACUUGGAACCACGACUCCUCCUGGGCAACAUGGAGGAGCUUGGGCUUUGGGCCAACCUUCUGGCAUGGCCCAGUGAGCACCUCCGGACUUAUGCCUCCUCUGGGAAAUCCAUUUACUCCAGCUUUGCCCUCCACACCCCCCUAACCCAGCUUCACCUCCCAAACCUGCAAAGACACAAGCAGGCCAAAGAAUGCCACUCAAGAGGCUUUCUGCAUUUUAUUUCUUUGGGAAAAGAAAACGAAGUCUUUCCAUCACAUAUGGUAGAGAUAUAUAUUUAUAUAUAUUUAUAUAUAAUUUCUUUUGUGGUUGGAAGUCCCAAA